GACGAAGGUGGCGAGCGUUACUCGGAAUUACUAGGCGUAAAGCGUGGGCAGGCGGUUCGUAAAGUCUGUUGUGAAAGCUCCCGGCUCAACUGGGAGAGGCCAAUGGAUACUCACGGACUUGAAUUGGGGAGGGGUCACUGGAAUUCCUGGUGUAGCGGUGAAAUGCGUAGAGAUCAGGAGGAACACCAAUGGCGAAGGCAGGUGACUAGACCCAUAUUGACGCUCAUCCACGAAAGCUGGGGGAUCAAACAGG
rnacentral:rRNA from 1 species